CUUUCCUGCCCUCGCAGUUUUCAAGCCACUUUCAAGCUCUUUGGGAAAGUUCAGUCACUAUCACUUGCAUAAACAUGGCAUGAAUGCAUGAACAUAACCAAAGAUCGCAUAUACAGAAAUCUUAUGGAUCAUGACUUGGAAGCAUCAAACUUCAGCACUGGGCUCAGCAGGUUGCCUUGUAAGGACAACAUGGAACCUGAAUCUGCCACCAGCAUACGACAGUGUGUGUACACUGCCCCUUAAUGUCUGACUUCAGGAGAUGGGAGGCUGUGCCCACCUUUCCCUUACCCUUGCAGGCUCAGGUUGAGCUCAGAAACUACAGAUCCCACCAGCUCUUGCAGCAGGAGACACCGUGAGGAUGAACAGAUGUGCUAGGCUUUCUGAGGCAUCUCCAGGGUCUAAGUCCCCUGUCUGUGCAUCACAAAGAAAUUCUCUAAUGUUAUUUGUCCCAGAGUUCAGAAACAGUGUCACAGAAUAUGUGAUAUCUGUUUGCAUUGCACUGCAAUAGUGGCAUUUUGCUGUCUUCUCCACUAAAGCUACAGUAUCCUUGAGGAACCUGGUGUAUGGAGGGAAGAGACUAGGAAGCAAGGGUCAUGGACUUGAGAUCCAAGUAUUUGUGUCAAGCAAUCUGAUGUGUGAAGAAGAAAGAAAUAAGCUGUCACAGUCUUACAUGGGGACUGUGUAUUCUGAGCCCCUAUUGUUGUUGUUUUUUUUUUUUUUUUCCACUUAAUCUUUCCCCAUAUUGUGGUGCUUUCAAGGCCGCUAUGAUGUUCAGGGAUUGAGAAUGUCUUAUCUGCUCCAAAAUAGGUCUGCAAUAUUUCCACAAGAGCACUUGAAGAAAGCUGCAAGACAUUGUAUCACAAUUUUUCCAUGCUUGGUUUGAAGUUUAGGGCCUUCAAUUUACAGAGGACUGCAUCCUUCACAUCUCCAAAAUGUGGCUCAAAUUGGUAGUCCACUUUGUUCCACUGCUUCUCUACACACAGGAAGUCUCUCAGAGGAAGCCAGACUCAUCGUUAUAUGAAACAAAGAGUGUUUCAUCUGUGGCAACAAGAAGGAAGCAACACUGAAAAUGAAUUGUCAUUGCAUAGAAGUCAAAACACUCAUUGAUUUUUGUGGAGCCCUUGUUUCACCUAUGCAAAACUAAGUCCUGCAAGAAAAAGAAAUCUAUGAAGUUCUGUAAUAAAUUCUAUUUUGCAAAAUACAGUCCUCAAAGAUAAAUCCUAUUUUUUCCUACAGUAACUUUAUUACCAAUAAAAAGCACUGGCAGAACU
ensembl:lncRNA